CUGAAUAGACGGGCCUCGAUCCCGC
rnacentral:tRNA from 1 species